rnacentral:tRNA from 1 species
GUCUCUGUAGCUCAAUCGGAUAGAGCAAUGCGCGCAAGCGCAUAGUGUGGGUUCGAGUCCCAUCAGAGACG